CCAUUCUUUCUGCCCAGCAGCCGACCAGUUGACAGCUACUGGAGAGAAUGAGCUUGGAGCAGCAGGGUUUAACCCAGCGCAGCUCAGAGGUGGGUUGCUGAAGAAUUCCGGGAGGCAGCUGCAACAGGGUAUCAUUCACUGUCCAAGUAUUUAUGAUUCUGAGCGCAAAAGGAAGAACUUAAACAGGCGGCAGUUGGAGUGUAAAUUGCUUUGUAGUAUUUAAAAGCAUCACGGAUCCUGGACAGCUGAGCUGGAUGAGACCUGACUGUUCUAGAAAACAACAGCUUGUCCUGUGGAGAAUUCUGAGUACAUGCUGAUGGAAAAUUAGAGGGUGAAUACUAAAACGCAAAUGUGCUGUUUUCCUGAGAGUUAUUUCUGGGACAAUGAGUACAAGCAGUGGUGAAGCAAAGGUGAAGGCAGCAAAGGUGAAGUAUGGAGCUGGAGGAGCAAGAGCUAGACCCCAAAGCAAGAUAUAUAAUCCACCAAGAAGAUGUAGCCAUCAUAAGCAUGACCAUUGAAGUAUCCUUUCAUGACAUCAACUUAUUUCCAUAUGGAUAUGCAGUGCAGGCACUGGAUUCUCACAGAAGUCCUUGUUUAUAAUGAUCAUCCAGAUGUGAGAUCAUUGUCUUCAGACUACCAAGAACACACUAUGUAUUUUUGGAACUGUUAUGUAUUAUCUGGAUGUAGAAAUAGUGCUGGAAUACUUUGCCAUCACACUAUUAACAGGGACAUUUUCACCAGAUUUGGGAGAUCAAAGAAGAUCUAACUUCUCAAUAGUCAGCUGGGCAAUGUUGUGUAAGAAAAUGAAGCUUGGAACCAUCGCACCUGUCUUAUGCUUAGGAAGGUGAAAGCCUGAGUAUAAAAGUCAACAUCAGAUGGCAAAGAAGAGAGAGAAAAUCAGAAUCUAAAUGACCUUGUUGAAUCAGGAAUUUGGACAGUGAAAAUUCUCUGAAAAAAAUGAUUUUGCCCCAGAGUUCCCAUUGUGAC